rnacentral:lncRNA from 1 species
GGAUGAAGCUGCCCGGCGCCAUUUUGCUUGUGGGCUGCCGCCCGCCGUUGCCUCUCCGCGGAGGCUCGAAGAUAGCAAACUGGAGGCGGUGAGGGGGACGGAAUCUCUGUCUUUCUGACAACAGAUGCAUUCAACAAUCCACCGAAGGUUUGAGGAAGUGUCGGUAUUCGGUGGGACUGGUUCUUUCCCCCUUUCCCCCAGUGGCCCUCAAGUCUGGAUAUAGGUGAGCUUGGGCAUGCCAGUAUUGGGUGCACGAACAAGGACAGCAGGGCUUGGGAACGAACUCCCUCCCGUCACCCUCCGAAAGCGAUACACCUUCUCCCCCUCCCAAACAACCCCAGUCCCGUCUCCCCGUUCCUCUCCCCCUCCUCCCCCAGCCCAGUCUGGCCUCCAGCGCUGGGUGAACCCGGUUGGGGUGUCACUCGACGCCCACUAGGGGCUGAGGAGGCUCCAGUGCGCAGGCUCCGGGCACCGGAUAAAAGCGGAGCUGGCGAGUCUAGUGCUGUCUCGAUGGAGGAGCAAGAAACGGAAGAGGUCGGGGGGAGAAGCAGCCGGAAAAAUGCAGCCACCGUCAACGCCGCCUCCCUGCCACCGUGCUUCGGGGUAAAAAGCUGCCGUUGCCGUCGGUGCAGUUGCCGUCGCUGCCUCCUAUACUUCUCUUGGCCUCGGGGAAGGAUUUCCCCACCGGUGGGACAAUGUGCGGGGAGGGGAGUGGGAAUUCCUUUAUAUGGCGGUGAUUAAACGAGGGAGGGACAGACAGUGAUCUCGAAGAAAAAAGGGGGAGACCAAAGAAUAAAAGAAGGGUUUCCCCACUAAAAUGACACGGCGAUUCCGGCUCUUGUUUUGGGGGUCUUUCCCCGAAAUGGUUUCCGUCUUCCCCUUGCCCCGCAGCGACCCAGAGCGCUGGGGGAAGCGGAGUGGGGAGAGGCAGAGGCGGUCUCGGCAGCCAAUCAGCGCCUGAUGUGUCCUGUCGGGCGCGUCGUGGUUGGCUGGCGAUGACCUCAUCCUGCAGCAGCGGGUGGGGCCAAAGCCGUAGGGGGAGGCUGUUGCAAAGGUAGAGAGGGAGAAGUGACGAUGGUGAUCGUUGCUGCCGCGGCCGAUAUGGAACCCAAGCAGUGGCGAAGGGAAUCGCAAGGCUCUUCCCUGACCAUUUUCUACUGUCCCUGCGCGAGGCUGAGUUAUGAACUUCGGUUUGGUUUCUUUCUGCAAUCCCUGCAGGGCCAUAAAUUCUUGGCCCUUAAGACUGGGUGGCCCAUAACAGACUCAGUGAUACCAUCAGUAACCACAAUUCACACUGGAGUCAAGUUAUCUGAUUCCCACACCAGUUGGAGAACUGGAGAUUCCUUAGAACUUUUAACUGUCAUGUUUUCAAAGUUGACAUGGAAAAUUUUACAUGAAGCUUAAAAAUACAACUAAUCUGUGGUGAUAGAGACGAGAAGAGUUAAGCUCUAAAAUUAGAAGAGCAGUUCGUUUUGAGGCAGCACUGAUUGGGAGGGAGCAUGGAGUAUAUAAUUACACAUUUCUAUGUAAUGUAAAAAUGUAUAGAUUUAAGAUUUAUGCAUUUUAUGUAAAUUUUACUACAAUAAAACGAAAAUGAAAGAAGACAGAUCAUAGUUUAAUCAAAUAUUGUGUACAAAGUAAUUUCUGUUAAACAUUUAUAUUUUUAUGUGUAUAUGUAUCUUUUACAUGUAUGUGUUAAGGAUAUGCAUUAAAAUGGUAAUAACUUCCUCUGCCUGUUGGGAUAAUGGAGAGUUUUGUUACUUUUUGUCUUUUUUUAAAACAUGUUCUUCAAUAAUAAUGUAUUGCUUUUGUAAUUAUGAAAAACAAAAGUUAUUUUGUAAAUCUUUGUUACUGAUAAGAGAUGGGUAUUCUGUUAACUACUCAAUUCUCAUGUAGGAAAACAAAAUAAAUAAUGUCUAUUUGAUAAAUCGAGAAACAGAAGCAUUACUUAGAAAUCUGAGUUACCUCUAAAAUAAUGACUGGCAUUUGAAGUUGAGGAUGGGUCUUGAGUUCCUGUGAUUUUAAGCUCUUGGAUAUGAGGGUUGGAUUCUUCAUUUGAAAAAUGGGAAAAAGAAGUAAUAUCACGUACCUUGACCAUGGUAUCAGAGAAUGACCUCAGAAGUUGUGAGGGAAUUCUCAGACAAAACUUUGAAAUAUAAUCCAGGAUUCAAUCAGUAUAAAGGACGCUCAGCAUAACCCAAGAAGGUCACAGACCAGAAUCACUGGCUGAAACCUCUGGCAGUGACCAACCUCAACUCAAAAG